CCCGGGAGUGGCAGACGGGUGAUACGCGUGGGAAUCUACCUAGUUCUACGGAACAACAGAGGGAAACUUCUGCUAAUACCGUAUACGCCCUAUGGGGGAAAGAUUUAUCGGAAUUAGAUGAGCCCGCGUAAGAUUAGCUAGUUGGUGAGGUAAUGGCUCACCAAGGCGACGAUCUUUAGCUGGUCUGAGAGGAUGAUCAGCCACACUGGGACUGAGACACGGCCCAGACUCCUACGGGAGGCAGCAGUGGGGAAUAUUGGACAAUGGGCGCAAGCCUGAUCCAGCCAUGCCGCGUGAGUGAUGAAGGCCUUAGGGUUGUAAANNCUCUUUCAGUGGGGAAGAUAAUGACGGUACCCACAGAAGAAGCCCCGGCUAACUUCGUGCCAGCAGCCGCGGUAAUACGAAGGGGGCUAGCGUUGUUCGGAUUUACUGGGCGUAAAGCGCACGUAGGCGGUUUGUUAAGUCAGGGGUGAAAUCCCAGAGCUCAACUCUGGAACUGCCUUUGAUACUGGCAAGCUAGAGUCCGGAAGAGGUAAGUGGAACUCCUAGUGUAAGGUGGAAUUCGUAGAUAUUAGGGAAGAACACCAGUGGCGAAGGCGGCUUACUGGUCCGGAAACUGACGCUGAGGUGCNAAAGCGUGGGGAGCAAACAG
rnacentral:rRNA from 1 species